UCCUCCUGCUGCUCUGUAAGUGAAAGUGAAAAUAGUCCUUUACUGCGAUAAAGACGGUGUCAGAAGUAAAGUGAGCAGGUCGCUUUUCAAAUCUAAUCAGAAAAAGGCCUCAGACAAUCACUUCUUUCUGAACAAUAGAAAGUGGAGCUCAGACCGGUAUGAUCAGAGUAUCCAGCCUUUGAAUGGCGUUUCUCUCUCUCAGAACAACAUCUCUCGACACUGCAAAGA